UACGUAGGGUGCAAGCGUUAAUCGGAAUUACUGGGCGUAAAGCGUGCGCAGGCGGUUUGCUAAGACCGAUGUGAAAUCCCCGGGCUUAACCUGGGAACUGCAUUGGUGACGGGCAAGCUAGAGUGUGGCAGAGGGGGGUAGAAUUCCACGUGUAGCAGUGAAAUGCGUAGAGAUGUGGAGGAAUACCGAUGGCGAAGGCAGCCCCCUGGGCCAACACUGACGCUCAUGCACGAAAGCGUGGGGAGCAAACAGG
rnacentral:rRNA from 1 species